rnacentral:lncRNA from 1 species
CAGGAGGGUGUGGUCACAUCCCACGCAGCUGGAGGGAAAGAGGGGAGCUGGGGGCAGCGAGGGCUGUCCCUGCUCCAGGAUCAGGUGGGGUCUGCAGGGAUGGAGGGCAAGAGGCGGAGUCAUGGGAGGCUGCACGCACAGUAGAAUGGCCUCAGCACCUGCGUCUGCGUCUUUGUCCUUUAUGACCCCUGAGACGGGUGACUGG